rnacentral:lncRNA from 1 species
UUGGGCGGAGGAAGGCGGGGAGUGGAGCAGAGCCUGUGGUCCUCUUACGUCGCCAUACGCCAUGCCUCUCCAGGUAGCUCUUCCAAAAGCCUCGACCCACUUGCACGGGGAGAUCUCCAGUGAUCUCUCUCUCUCUCUCUCUCUCUCUCUCUCUCUCUCUCUCUCUACCUCAGCCCCUCUUCGCUCUCUCUCUCUCUCCUGAUCUUUCCGGCGGGGAGGUGAGGCAUUGAUUCGGGCUGGCGUGCUGGGU